rnacentral:lncRNA from 1 species
CUGUAUACUUAAAAGUUAUGCAAAGGGUACAUAUUAUAUCUGUGUAAUCACACUAAAGGAAGUAAAAAAAUCAUCAAGCAGAAGAGAUGCUGAGCAGAAGCAGGGCAUAAUAUCCUGAGGAACUGGGGGAGGAGCCACACAGCAUCAGGUCAAAUGUGGCAGCUCCUUCUACCACCAUGGUCCUCGUGGAUGAGGGAACUGAUGAAAACGGUGUGUACAGAAAUCAUCACUCCAGUGACGAACAGUCAGGGUGAGAAGAAGAAGCUCCCCUACCCCAGGAACCACUGGAAGAAUUGCCCGCCUUUGAGGGAGAAGAAGAGGCUCUGUCUGACACUGAGCUUUGCUGGAGACGAAGUGGAGAUGCACCUGCUUUGGGGAGGUGGCUGGCGAGAAAGAGAGCGAAUGCGGGCCCCGCCCCGUGAGGCAAAGCUCACUUCCUGA